rnacentral:rRNA from 1 species
AUACCUGCCGGCGACCGGCAAACGGGUGCGGAACACGUACACAACCUUCCUUUAAGUGGGGGAUAGCCCAGAGAAAUUUGGAUUAAUACCCCGUAAGAUCAUUUAGUGGCAUCACUAGAUAAUUAAAGCUCCGGCGCUUGGAGAUGGGUGUGCGUCUGAUUAGGUAGUUGGUGUAGGUAACGGCUCACCAAGCCUUCGAUCAGUAACUGGUGUGAGAGCACGACCAGUCACACGGGCACUGAGACACGGGCCCGACUCCUACGGGAGGCAGCAGUAAGGAAUAUUGGUCAAUGGACGCAAGUCUGAACCAGCCAUGCCGCGUGGAGGAUGAAGGUCCUCUGGAUUGUAAACUUCUUUUAUUUGGGAAGAAAGGCAUCUUUUCUAAGGUGUUUGACGGUACCAGAUGAAUAAGCACCGGCUAACUCCGUGCCAGCAGCCGCGGUAAUACGGAGGGUGCAAGCGUUAUCCGGAUUCACUGGGUUUAAAGGGUGCGUAGGUGGGCAGUUAAGUCAGUGGUGAAAUCUCCGGGCUUAACCCGGAAACUGCCAUUGAUACUAUCUGUCUUGAAUAUCGUGGAGGUAGGCGGAAUAUGUCAUGUAGCGGUGAAAUGCUUAGAUAUGACAUAGAACACCAAUUGCGAAGGCAGCUUACUACCCGAAUAUUGACACUGAGGCACGAAAGCGUGGGGAUCAAACAGGAUUAGAUACCCUGGUAGUCCACGCCCUAAACGAUGGAUACUCGACAUACGCGAUAUACAGUGUGUGUCUGA